rnacentral:rRNA from 1 species
UACGUAGGGGGGCUAGCGUUGUCCGGAUUUAUUGGGCGUAAAGAGCGUGUAGGCGGCCAGGUAGGUCUGGUGUGAAAACUCGAGGCUUAACCUCGAGACGUCAUCGGAAACCAUCUGGCUAGAGUCCGGAAGAGGAGAGUGGAAUUCCUGGUGUAGCGGUGAAAUGCGCAGAUAUCAGGAAGAACACCAAUGGCGAAAGCAGCUCUCUGGGACGGUACUGACGCUGAGACGCGAAAGCGUGGGGAGCGAACAGG